rnacentral:rRNA from 1 species
UUGAAAGGGAAACGAUUGAAGUCAGUCGUACCAACGGGAAAUCAACCUUUUGAGCUUGGUCUCGUGGGUUUUGAAGAGUUUCAAAGCCUUCGGAUUCGCGAGAUUGGGAUCUCUCGGUGUACUUUCUCGUACGGUUAGUCAACAUCGGUUUUGAAUGUCAUAAAAUGACUGGAGGAAUGUAGCUUCGAUCUCGUAUUGAAGUGUUAUAGCCUUUGGUAGAUGUGAUGUUUGAGACCGAGGAUUGCAACGGAUACCCUUCAGGGCUAUUCGUCUGAUCUCUGAUACGUUGCCUUGAUGUUGAAAGCGUGCUUAUGAUAUUGAGGUAUUACGGUCAAAAGGUUAGAACGGAUUACAUUCGUUAAGGAUGUUGACGUA